UACGUAGGGGGCUAGCGUUGUCCGGAAUCAUUGGGCGUAAAGAGCGUGUAGGCGGUCCGGUAAGUCCGCUGUGAAAGUCGGGGGCUCAACCCUCGAAUGCCGGUGGAUACUGUCGGGCUAGAGUGCGGAAGAGGCGAGUGGAAUUCCUGGUGUAGCGGUGGAAUGCGCAGAUAUCAGGAGGAACACCAACGGCGAAGGCAGCUCGCUGGGACGGUACUGACACUGAGGCGCGAAAGCGUGGGGAGCGAACAGG
rnacentral:rRNA from 1 species